CCAAUAGCGUAUAUUAAAGUUGUUGUGGUUAAAAAGCUCGUAGUUGAACCUUGGGCCUGGCUGGCCGGUCCGCCUCACCGCGUGUACUGGUCCGGCCGGGCCUUUCCCUCUGUGGAACCUCAUGCCCUUCACUGGGUGUGACGGGGAAGCAGGACUUUUACUGUGAAAAAAUUAGAGUGCUCCAAGCAGGCCUAUGCUCGAAUACAUUAGCAUGGAAUAAUAAAAUAGGACGUGCGGUUCUAUUUUGUUGGUUUCUAGGACCGCCGUAAUGAUUAAUAGGGACAGUCGGGGGCAUCAGUAUUCAAUUGUCAGGGGUGAAAUUCUUGGAUUUAUUGAAGACUAACUACUGCGAAAGCAUUUGCCAAGGAUGUUUUCAUUAAUCAGGAACGAAAGUUAGGGGAUCGAAGACGAUCAGAUACCGUCGUAGUCUUAACCAUAAACGAUGCCGACCGGCGAUCCGCUGUCGUUACUUGAAUGACUCAGCGGGCAGCCUCCA
rnacentral:misc_RNA from 1 species